GACGAACGCUGGCGGCGUGCCUAACACAUGCAAGUCGAACGGAAAGGCCCUGCUUUUGUGGGGUGCUCGAGUGGCGAACGGGUGAGUAACACGUGAGUAACCUGCCCUUGACUUUGGGAUAACUUCAGGAAACUGGGGCUAAUACCGGAUAGGAGCUCCUGCUGCAUGGUGGGGGUUGGAAAGUUUCGGCGGUUGGGGAUGGACUCGCGGCUUAUCAGCUUGUUGGUGGGGUAGUGGCUUACCAAGGCUUUGACGGGUAGCCGGCCUGAGAGGGUGACCGGCCACAUUGGGACUGAGAUACGGCCCAGACUCCUACGGGAGGCAGCAGUGGGGAAUAUUGCACAAUGGGCGGAAGCCUGAUGCAGCAACGCCGCGUGCGGGAUGACGGCCUUCGGGUUGUAAACCGCUUUCGCCUUUGACGAAGCGUGAGUGACGGUAAUGGGUAAAGAAGCACCGGCUAACUACGUG
rnacentral:rRNA from 1 species